rnacentral:lncRNA from 1 species
UACAAGGAUUUUAAGUGAAGCAUACCAUAUGUUUCAACACAUGAAACUAAAUUUUCAUAAUAUGUUUAACAAUUAAAUAUACAUAGGUAUGAUCUAAACUUCAUAUAUACAUCUCAUGUAUCAUGACAACUUUUAGAUCAAUACCGAUUACAUCAUAUGUAACAUGUAAUUCAUAUCUAAAAUAAUUUUAUAUCUGAAUUUUAUCCUAUUGUAAUGAAGCAUAAAUCAUUUUAGAUCUAAUCUAAACAUAUUUAUGAUCAAAAUAAUACAUAAAAAUCUGUUCGCUUUUUUCUUCAUGAAAUCGGAUUACAAUGACAUCCCUACACGUCAUAAGAGAAUCCAUCGAAUAGGUAAAAGAGAGAUUAAUCU